rnacentral:rRNA from 1 species
UAUCAGGUAGUAGUGGGUCUAGAGUACCUACUAGCCUACGACGGGUACGGGUUGCGAGAGCAAGAGCCCGGAGAUGGAUUCUGAGUCAUGAAUCCAGGCCCUACGGGGCGCAGCAGGCGCGAAAACUUUACAAUGCGGGAAACCGCGAUAAGGGGACACUGAGUGCCAGCAUAUUAUGUUGGCUGUCCACAUGUGUAAACGGCAUGUGAUAGCAAGGGCCGGGCAAGACCGGUGCCAGCCGCCGCGGUAACACCGGCGGCCCGAGUGGUGAUCAUUAUUAUUGGGUCUAAAGGGUCCGUAGCCGGUUUGAUCAGUCUUUUGGGAAAUCUGACAGCUCAACUGUUAGGCUUCUAAGGGAUACUGUCAAACUUGGGACCGGGAGAGGUAAGAGGUACCACAAGGGUAGGAGUGAAAUCUUGUAAUCCUUGUGGGACCACCAGUGGCGAAGGCGUCUUACCAGAACGGGUCCGACGGUGAGGGACGAAAGCUGGGGGCACGAACCGGAUUAGAUACCCGGGUAGUCCCAGCCGUAAACGAUGCUCGCUAGGUGUC